UUUUAUUGUUUUAAACAAAGGCCUGAGGGACCAGGGGCUGGAGGCUAAUAGUGAGGCUCCCUCAGAAAAAUGUUAAAGCAACUAUUUACAGGGGAACUUUUCAAGUAACAAUUAAACUAAGUAGUAAGAACAACAGGAAACCAUUUUAAAAGAAAAAACUAAUUCUUCGUAAAAUCUUUUCUAUAGGAAUCAGAAGGUAGGAGAGAACUCUAGGUCUGUCUGCGAUCGAGGGUGGUAAUGAAGGAACUGAGGGCAGAUGGGCUAUGCGCACAAACUGCAAAGGGGCUAAUGGCAUGUACCCCCAUUGUGCAUACAUGGCCCGGCCAGAUACUGCAAGAAAGGUCUCCAAUCUGUGGCACCAGGAGAAGCCCAAGACCAACAGUGCAGCACCCACAGGGACAUCACUCGAAGAAGAAUAAAAAUUGAGACAUUAACAAAUAUCCAACGAUAGCUUCCUGGAUUGGCAAGCUCAACUGGCCCCUGAUCAGACGGUCAUUGAGAUACAGAUUUAUCAGGAUACUCUGAUGUCUGAGAGCACGACCUUUGGAGGGGAGGUCCUGAAUGGACUGCUGGACAUUUGCUGACUGCCCUGACGACUGGAGCCACUCUUCUCACUGUCUGGAGAUGGCAGAAGCCAUAGUCUCUGUCUCACAGACCACCGUGUCCAAAGCCACUUGCAACACGGCUCCUGCCAGUUCCUGCCUUCCUCCAGAAUGGCCUGGAAUUCCUUUCUCAAAUCUUCUGGGACUGAAUUGGCAAAUUUGGCCACUGAUUGCCAUCUAUAUUACAGAAAAGUUUACACUUGUGCACCAGUAUGAACAAUUCUCUUGUAUUGGCUGUUUCAUUUUACUCUUUGAAAUUUAAAAAAUAAAUCUUAACAAGUGAUACUAAAAUGGCUGGGUACCUCAAAUGCUUAACCUUUCCAAAUUAAUCUGCAUGUUAAAUGCCCUGAAGUUAUAAGUGGGAAGCUAAGAAAUAGCAGGCUUCACCAAAUAGUAAUCAUCAAUACAUUAUCCCUAUAUCAGUUCACAGUAAAUGUCUGAUUUAGCUAAUAUUCAGUAUGAGCCAAUAAAGUGGUUUCUACAGUAAGAAUUGAGUACCAAAGACUUCAAAUUGCAGGCAUGCAGUUUCUUAGAUGGUCACUCCUCUACCAUCUCUCAAUGAAUCACUUGAUCUGGACAAAAGAGCUGCUGUUUGACAACUAUUUCCAAACACGGAUAAAAUAGUAUGCUUAAGCAAUGAAUAGAUUUUGCAGUGUCUUUAGGAUUUUAUUCCCACCUGACCUCUAAUUUGCAAGGAAGUAAACUGUACAGUUGAAGAGCUUAAAACCUACUGCAGAGAGACUCAAAUCAUCUGCUCCUCCAAGAAUAUGGUAAAAAACAAUCUGUGAGAUAUGUAUUUUGCAAAGUACUUUUCAAUAAAGAGUAUUUACUCAUUUUUGCUAACAAUGUAUUUAACAAUUAAAACAAUACAGAACAGCACUAAAUUGCAUUAUGAAAGCUGUAAGGGUUGUUAACAGUUACAGAAUAUCAUUGCUGUAAUGCAUAUUCAAGGUGCCAUUUAAUUCCUUUUGAGUGAAAGAGCAGGCUUUUGCAAUCACAAGUCAUCACAAUAACAAUGCUCUAAUUAUGUUUGACGGGCAUAUGUAUCAUGAUUACAACAGCAAAAGCAAAAAAAUAAAAGAUUUCUUGGGGCUUUCCUUUUAAAUGUAGGGCAAUCAUGUGUAAACAACAGAAAGCUGAUUCCAUGCUGUAUAUUUUCUAUUUCUGGACAAAAUCUCUGAAUUACGAAAUCUUCUACAUACUAUGUCAGGCAAUAAUCUCUCUGUCAAUGGAUGGAUAUAACAGAUGUUAUUAGAUAAAGUUUUUCAACCCAACCCCAUGUUAAAGAUUUCCUAGAAGGAUUCAGAAGCAUUUUCAUCUGCUCCAUAUCACAAAACAAUCUCAUUGGACCAAAUAUAUAACUCUUUUUCAAAAUAUUAUCUUCCACAAACAAAAAUAAACCUACUCACAAUAAUUUAGGGUUCAUAUUUUCUGGGCUAGGUCAAAAAAUGGAAACAAAUAAGUACUUGCAGAAAUUUUUAGAAAGAUGAGGUAAAUCUAAUAUUAAAUGAGAAGCUGUAGAUGUUCACCCAGUUUUUGAAUACCAUACUUUGAAGAGAAGAAACUGAAAGUCCUUUGAUCCAGACAUUCAAGUGAAUGUGGACAGAGGAUAGAUUUCAAGUGGUAGGCUGUCACUUUAUUAAAUUUAACCCCAGAAUACCUCAUUUCCUAACAUCAGGCAUUUAAAUAGUUCCAAUGCAAUAUGUAAAGGGAUCUGAUCUAACCCAUAAAUCAGGAUAAACGCUCCACUGUCUAUUUCUACAUUUCAGCUUAUUAUUCUGAAUCUUCUCAUCUUCCCAUCUCCACAAAAGGGACAAAAGGUACCAAGGAGGGACCCCGGCCACUGUAAAGACUUUCAGUCCCCUCUUUUCACGUAAGGCUGACAUCUGACAGCAAAAUCCUAGGCCUCUUAUUUCUGGGCAUCGGCCCUUUUGGAUGAACUAAACAUUCAUAUAAUACUUAAUAUCACAUUUCUAACAACUAUGCCUAGCUGGCUCUCCAUGAUGCUGUGAAAAAGGAA